UUGUUCAUCGCGUUCUCCCCCUAGCGGUCUUAUUGUGUCAGCACAUCCUUGAUCAUGUACUGAUGUGCAGCCGCCGGCAGGGGGCGGUGUAGCACAAGUCUGUACCAGCCUGGACAACCCUUUUCUGCAUAUGAGAGCAGCGAAGCAGCAGGCGGUUAACAGAUAAAAUCACUAGUGGAAAACACAACAGCAGAGAGACACAAGGAGACAGGAGAGAUGGAGAAAAAAACGAGUGUGAAUCCCGUGGUGCAGGAAAAAGUGGGCAAAUUAAAGGGAGAGGAAGACGGUUCAGUUCCCUCCUGUUUUUUAAUGUCUGGAGCAAGAUACAAGGCAGAUAAGGAGACCGACGCUGUGUUACGUGCACGGUGCAGACAUAUGGAGUUGAUCACUGCGCCUGUUGCUGAUGUUUUCUUUGGGAAUGCUGACAAGUUGACAGGCGAGGCGCAGCACUGACAUAAAGCCUCACUUCACUGUCCGGAUGAGAGAGAUAGAGAAAUACAAGGAGAGAGGGAGAAGGAGAUAAGGGCCAGGGGGAGGGUGAGAGACAUAGUGAGAGAGAGAGAUAGGGAAAUAAGGGGGAGUUGAGAGAAAAAGAGGAGGAGAUAUGAAGGGGAAAAAAAUGACUUCACGCCGCGACUG